UUGAGAACCCCUGUUCUAUAACCUUCAGAAACUGCUGUUGUUAUCUUCCCUAAGUAUUUACUGCUUUCUAAGGAAUAUUUCUCUCUGUCUCUUUUGAUGUGGCUUUCUGGUUGUCCAUUGCUAUAAUUACAUCGUGGAAUCAGGGCAAAACAAAGGCAGAGCCGAAGACAUUUUUCCUCAGUGGCCUUUGCACACAGAGCAAGAUGGCUGCACUUGUCAACCAGUCAGUUGAUAUAUUCAGCUUGAGCCCCGCUGCGCCCAGGAUGUGCCGCCAUAUUUAAUGUUUGUGUUCCUGUCAUCUGUCCCGUUUUCCCAGUCCGUGUGCUUAAUUUUAAGGCACUUGCCCAGUUUCCUUCCAGCUAUAAUCUCAACAGGGAAAUGACUGUUUGCUUUUUCUUUUCAUACUGCAAGUAAACAUAUUAAACUUAGUCAGCUGCUCUCUUUCUCCAGCUGGCUCAGAAAAUCGUCUUCCUGACCAGAUUUGGCUUCUUUUUGGACAUCUCACCCCAAAGUAAAUUCUUUUUAUUUAUUUAUAUAUAUUUCUACUAGACAGUAAUAUGCCCCCCCCCCAAUUUAUUAUUAAGAAUAAACCCCAUUUGGCUGAAAACGCUGGCAGGGAUUUGCAAGAGUCCUGUCUGAAAGCUCCCCUUUGCUCUUCCUCAUCGUGGCUCUAAACUUUGUUUGAUGAAAGUCCCCAUUUUCACGGCUGCCGUUGGUGAAGUGACUUCUGAGUUAUGCCCUGUGAGAUGGUUGAUACCUGCUAGCACAGUGUUUCUCAACCUUGACAAUUUUAAGGCAUGUGGACUUCAACUCCCAGAAUUCCACAGCCAGCAAUGCUGGCUGUGGAAUUCUGGGAGUUGAAGUCCACAUGCCUUAAAAUUGUCAAGGUUGAGAAACACUGUCAGAAUAUGGCAAAGGCAACAGCUAGGGAAAUUUCACACCUGUGUUAUCUCACACACAUUACCCAGAAGUAAUAUCACCAAGUUUUAUAUUCUUCGAAUUUCAACUUGGAAGAAUUCGAUUCGGAAGCUAUUGAUGUUGCAGGUCCAGACAGAUGAAUCCGUUUUUCAAAGCAGGCAGAUGUCGUGAGCUCAGGUACGUAGCCAUGAGGGCAAGGGGCUGCUUUUAUCUUGUUCAUUUUUUGAAUCCUUAAUCUUCAAAUGAAAGCCCUUGUAGCUGUUUAUUUAUAUUUUGCAAGUGAACAGCAUAUAGGCUGCUUGCCUCACCCAUAUCCUAAUUUGUCCCACUUGAUUGUAAAACUGUGUUGUUUCCUCCACAAACAAAUUGAAGAUGGAGGAAGACCAAGUGAGCUAUUGCAACCUCAUUCCCAUUCCCCUUUUUUCUCCAGGGCCAGAGGAAGCUAACGGUUACUGAUUACCUUCCUGAACAAUUGUACUUGCUACGGUUAUCUUGUCCAAUUCAGAAAGCUCAAAAUUCCUAAAGGAAGAGAUGGUUUGUUUCUGCUAUGGGUGGAUAGGGUUAACAUGACUGAAAUUCUGCAUUUCUGGGUCUUGGAGUGUAAAAAGGGCAAUUUACUUUAUCAUAAGAAUGUUUGGCUCCAGUCAUUCACUAAUAAGAGCAGCUUUAUCCCUGGUUUUUUAUACAGAGAGAACAUGGCCCUAGUUUUCCCUUAGAAUUUGAAUAUGUUGAGUGUGACAAGACAUUUUAGUAUUUUCUUUCUUAAAGGAAACUGCAGGCAAGUCAGCAUUUGAAUCUGUAUUUGUUGCUUCUGCCUUUUAAACUUUUUCAGAUAUGAGUUGGCAGGCUUUGUGUGUCAAGAGGUCUUUUUUUUUUUAAUGUGACUUUGUUUUGUGGAAACCUUGCACGAGGAAGGCCCUUGGAGUCCUUGCAGCAAGUGGAAAAGGUCACCCUUUACACUUCACUUCCUGCUCUGAGAUACCCUUAACACUAUGAGCAUGUGCCAGGGUUCGGUCUUUCAUUCCUCUAUACCAGGGGUUGCCUACCCCUCCUCUAUACUCUGAAAAUUAAAAAAAAACAAAAACAGGUGAUCUGUCAAGAUCCUUGCAGAGUUGCCUUCCACAAAGCACAUCUCGACAUCAGAACAGAAGCUGUUCUCUUCUUCUUCCUCCUCCUCCUCUUCCACAGAUUUUGCUUUUACAGCUCUCUGGUUGUGUUUGUGAGGGGCAUCUACCCCUUUUAGGAUCUAUAAAAAUAUUAAGACUGCUGUGAGCUGCCCAGUUUGAUUCAGAGGGUUGGGGUCAACGUGGCAACUUCAUUUAGGGACUGUGGUCCUUGAGGCUCUUCUGCCUAAGCUGGAGAUCUCUUGCAAGUGAAUGGCAGUUUAAGCUUUGCCUGCCAGAUGCCAAAAGGUGCUGAAGGUUCCCACCACUGCCUGUUGUGAGAAGGGUCAGUGUUCUGGGUUCAUUUAUGCUGAUGCAUGCUUUAGUUAUGUGGUUGGGCACAGUGGUAUCCGGCUGCCUUUUUUUUUUUUUUUUUUUGAACUACAUUUACAUCUUGCUUGCACAAAUAUAAUGCCCUCUCCCUUAGCCAGUAGGGGGAAUAAAUGGCUGCUUCAUAAUUCCUGAGGUCCCAUCAGAUACACAGUGUUGAGAAAUGCUCCUAUUUCACUGCAGCCCUUUAGAAGAGGAAGCCCAUGAAUCAGAUAUCAUCGAUUAAAUACCUUGAAGAGCUUGAAAAGGCCAUUUGAGCACCCUUGGGAAAGGUCUUUGGCUGGACAGUUGGGCGGGGGCUCAUCAAUGAAUUCCAAAGGUAAAAGCUCUGCUUGGAAUGAAUUGGGUGAAAAUUCCGUUGGAUGGUAGCCAAGACCCGCGAACGACGUGUCCCGUAUAAGUUGGAAAGAUCAGGUGUUGGAAUUUGCCCAAAAGAAAGCCUAAGUAAACUGAUACGGUUGGGCUGUUGAGUUGGGGCUGUUGCUGUGCAGAACUGUGUUUAUCCUAAACACCUUCAGGUCGCUAGAACAGACUAGGCGUAGGCAACCUCGGCUCUUUCAUGACUCAAAGUGGACUUCAACUCCCAGAAUUCCUGAGCCACGAGUCAUAAAAGAGCCGAGGUUGCCUACCCCUGCCACCACUAGACUGUAGCUUGCUUUUGAAAAGCCCCAAAGACAACACAACGGUAAAAAUCUCUGCUGGGCCUUGGAAUGCCGUCUUCCUUCAGGAGCUUAGCUGGUGGCACCCCACGCCUGCUAGCCCCUAAUGCCUCUUUCUUCCAAGCAGAAGAGCCCAGGAAGGUAGGAGGGAAGUGUUCCUUUGGGCUGCCCCCCUCCCCCCCGCCAAAGCUGUGCUCGAUGGGGAUCUGAGAAUGGUGCUUAGCUUCCAAGUUGUUAUUUGAC